GGGCGCCUUUUUGAUUUUUUUACUCAAAAAGGUAAGCGUGGAAAGGUGCGGUAAGAGCGCACCGCUUUUUUGGCGACAAAAAAGGCUAUGUAAACCCCGUUCGGAGCAAGGUCGAAUAAGCAGCUAUGGGACUGCCCGUCCCGCUGCGGGUACGACCGCGUGAGCUUUUUGGCAACAAAAAGCCAAGAUAGAUGGCGGCAUAACACAGAACCCGGCUUAUGAUUUACCUAUAUUU
rnacentral:RNase_P_RNA from 1 species